GGCUGCAACUCGCCUACACGAAGUCGGAAUCGCUAGUAAUCGCGGAUCAGCAUGCCNCGGUGAAUACGUUCCCGGGCCUUGUACACACCGCCCGUCACACCAUGGGAGUUUGUAACGCCCAAAGUCGGUGGCCUAACCUUUAUGGAGGGAGCCGCCUAAGGCGGGACAGAUGACUGGGGUGAAGUCGUAACAAGGUAUC
rnacentral:rRNA from 1 species